CCUACGGGAGGCAGCAGUGGGGGAUAUUGCACAAUGGGGGAAACCCUGAUGCAGCGACGCCGCGUGUGGGAAGACGGUCUUCUGGAUUGUAAACCACUGUCCCCAGGGACGAAAAUGCCGGUACCUGGGGAGGAAGCUCCGGCUAACUACGUGCCAGCAGCCGCGGUAAUACGUAGGGAGCAAGAGUUGUCCGGAAUUACGGGGUGUAAAGGGAGCGUAGGCGGGGAUGGAAGUUGGGUGUCAAAACUACCGGCUCAACCGGUAGUCGAACUCAAAACUGCAACUCUUGAGUGAAGUAGAGGCAGGCGGAAUUCCUAGUGUAGCGGUGAAAUGCGUAGAUAUUAGGAGGAACACCAGUGGCGAAGGCGGCCUGCUGGGCUUUUACUGACGCUGAGGCUCGAAAGUGUGGGGAGCAAACAGGAUUAGAUACCCCAGUAGUC
rnacentral:rRNA from 1 species